CUCAGCAGCAACUAUAUCAGUCGAUCGAUCAUGUGCAGGUGACAGCAAGAGGUCGUUGUCAUGGUCCUUGCUGCUCGUCUCGAGCUCGACAGCAUAAUCAGUCCCAGUGACCGGCUGCAUUCCAAAGAAGUUUACCUGACCUUGAGAUUGUGGGGGAGAUACCUGCUAUCACAAGGGAACAGGUGUAAUAGCAGGACCAGUUUGGCGACUCGUUCUUUAACUGAACAGAAGCAGACAGGUGAACGCCUGGAGUGUCUAUCUCCCCAUCUUAUCUCUUGGUGCCUAUGUCAAUUUAAGUACACAAUCUCUGAGCCCUCCUCAUUGAGUCAGCAGUAAGGAGACCUUGAUGUACUGGAAUUUGCCGCAUCAAAGGUGAACUUGACCUAGCUCUUCUACCGCCGGUGAUGUUAUUAACCUAGAGCAACCUCUUUGCCGUCAAAGAGUAAGCAGCUAGGGUAUCUUUUAAUAACCUUGUUUUUUUUAUGCAUUUGAUAUCUACGGGCCAGUUGGUGGAUUGUGAUAAUUCUUCUAACUAAUCCCUUGGGGUAAAUCUGUCACCAUGUUUCGGGAUUUGAUUAGAAACAACAAUCCUGGGGGGGUAACAGAAGACAGUUUGAUUCCCUGGUAGUAUCACAGCACAUAUCAUGCUAAUCAACUGGAACUAGGAUUUAUGUCUGUAAUUGAUCAUUUGUUGCUUAAACAGGAAAAACAGUAUUGAGGUACAUCAUUUUUUUCUUACUUCUCAUUUUAAAGUCUACAGUAUAUGGGUGUGAUCUUAUGUUGCACAACCUCUGAAAGCAUAUGAAACUAUGAAAUUAAUUAUAGGCCUAAUUCUCCCUAUGCUUUUAUUUUGCACCUGGAUCUCUUGGAAUGAAUCGAUGGAUGUGCCUCUCAACUGUGAUUAUGUUCAU